CCGUGAAUUUUUCAAGUCCAGCGAAAAAAAUAGAGUUCACUUCAAUAUUCUGUCGUAAAAAGGAGGAGUGCACUUCGAUCGAAAUAAUCGUUUAUCUGGCCAUAACUGCUGUUUGUGAGAUCCUUAUACUAUGUGUUCUGGG